rnacentral:lncRNA from 1 species
AGGGAGGAGGGAGAAAAAUAACGGCGGAAAAUGUCGAAAGGAGGAGGGAGGAGGCUAGGGUUCGGAGUUAAACCCGACAACUUUAGUCGACGAAAUAAUUAUUUCGUCGGCUAAAGUCUUAAAUUUCGUCGGCUAUACACCAAUUCGUCGGCUAAAGUCUUAUAAAUUCGUCGGCUAAAACUUUGAAAUUCGUCGGCUAAAGUCUUAAAUUUCGUCGGCUAAAACUUUGAAAUUCGUCGGCUAAAAGUAUUUGUAUACAUUUGGCAUGUUGUGAUUGUGAUGAUCAAACUUGAGAAGCAGAAAUCCGACCGUCAGAUCUGACCAUCAUGAUAAAAUACAUGUAUGGGAAAAAAUUCAACUUGAUCCGAAAAGAAUAAGGGCUCGAUCCGGACGGUCAAUCUCGUAAGUCAAACCCCUAAACGCACGGAAAAGGUCGUUCGACCGUCUAAAUUACGUAUUUUGGCCGGACCUCCAACUGAAAAUAGUUUUAAACCGAUGACACGCAACAAGUCGUAUAAAAAUUUUACGCAAAAUAACCACCGAAUAUAGGGCUACUCAUAGGGGGAAAAAAUAAAAAAUUGCAUUGACUGCAACUAUCGGCACCGAAUAUUUACCGGAAUAGUGUGAUUUUUCAACCGUGGAUGUAUUUCAACAUUCUCGUCAUAUCUUAUUUCAUGACUUUUUGCCGUUUGAAGGUUUUACGUAUAGUUUGUUUUUGAAACGGAACAUUUACAUAACACUAGGUAAACAAGUUAUACAACAUUAGUAUGCCUGUUGUGAUUGUGAUGAUCAAACUUGAGAAACAGUCAUCCGACCGUCAGAUCUGACAAUCAUGAUAAAAUACAUGUAUGGGAAAAAAUUCAACUUCAUCCGAAAAGAAUAAGGGCUCGAUCCGGACGGUCAAUCUCGUAAGUCAAACCCCUAAACCGACACGGAAAAGGUACGUUCGACCGUCUAAAUUAACGUAUUUUUGGUCCGGGACCUCCCAACUGAAAAUAGUUUUAAACCGAUGACACGCAACAAGUCGUAUAAAAAUUUUACGCAAAAUAACCACCGAAUAUAGG